GAUGAACGCUAGCGAUAGGCCUAACACAUGCAAGUCGAGGGGCAGCACAUGAAGUAGCAAUACGGAUGGUGGCGACCGGCGCACGGGUGAGUAACGCGUAUGCAACCUGCCUACAACAGGGGAAUAACCCGUUGAAAGACGGACUAAUACCCCAUAACACAGGGAUCCCGCAUGGGAAUAUUUGUUAAAGAUUUAUCGGUUGUAGAUGGGCAUGCGUUCCAUUAGCUUGUUGGUGAGGUAACGGCUCACCAAGGCAACGAUGGAUAGGGGAACUGAGAGGUUUAUCCCCCACACUGGUACUGAGACACGGACCAGACUCCUACGGGAGGCAGCAGUGAGGAAUAUUGGUCAAUGGACGCAAGUCUGAACCAGCCACGUCGCGUGAAGGAAGACGGCCCUACGGGUUGUAAACUUCUUUUGUAAGGGAAUAAAGUGUAGUACGUGUACUAUUUUGCAUGUACCUUACGAAUAAGGAUCGGCUAACUCCGUGCCAGCAGCCGCGGUAAUACGGAGGAUCCGAGCGUUAUCCGGAUUUAUUGGGUUUAAAGGGUGCGCAGGCGGGAGAUUAAGUCGGCGGUGAAAUUUUGCAGCUCAACUGUAAAAGUGCCUUCGAAACUGGUUUCCUUGAGUGUGGAUGAAGUAGGCGGAAUUUGUGGUGUAGCGGUGAAAUGCAUAGAUAUCACGAGGAACUCCGAUUGCGCAGGCAGCUUACUAAACCAUAACUGACGCUCAGGCACGAAGGCGUGGGGAUCAAACA
rnacentral:rRNA from 1 species